CUCUCACAGGGGUAGGGAUAGGAAUUCUGGCUACACCUCGGACACCUAAUACCUGCUUAACGAGUUAUAUUUUGGCGACUUUGAGCCUCAGUCGUCAGUUUUUCCGGAAGAGCAAAUGAUUUCCGGGUUUCUGUGUGGCGAAUUGGCGUCCAGGCUGUACCCUAUCGGGAACUUCCUGAACGGAGUGAGGGCCCCUAGUUGAAAAGCGAUUCAAUAAAGGUAUAUAUAAUGUAAUAGCAUAAAUAAAUAAAUUACAAAUAA